rnacentral:rRNA from 1 species
CGCUGGCGGCAUGCCUAACACAUGCAAGUCGAACGAAGCCUUCGGGCUUAGUGGCGCACGGGUGCGUAACACGUGGGAAUCUGCCCUUCGGUUCGGAAUAACAGUUAGAAAUGACUGCUAAUACCGGAUGAUGACGUAAGUCCAAAGAUUUAUCGCCGAAGGAUGAGCCCGCGUAGGAUUAGGUAGUUGGUAGGGUAAUGGCCUACCAAGCCGACGAUCCUUAGCUGGUCUGAGAGGAUGAUCAGCCACACUGGGACUGAGACACGGCCCAGACUCCUACGGGAGGCAGCAGUGGGGAAUAUUGGACAAUGGGCGAAAGCCUGAUCCAGCAAUGCCGCGUGAGUGAUGAAGGCCUUAGGGUUGUAAAGCUCUUUUACCAGGGAUGAUAAUGACAGUACCUGGAGAAUAAGCUCCGGCUAACUCCGUG